GAAGUCAGCCAGACCGCCGCUGGUGCAAGGCCCGAAAGGGCGCACUGGAGGAAGGUCCGGACUGCACAGGGCAGCGUAGGAGGUAACACCUCUCCACCGCGAGGUGAGGAUCAGAGCAACAGAGACGAGUCUCUGCGGCCUUGGGCGGGGCGCAAGCCACGCCAAAGGCCAUUCGAAAGAAUGGCCGGGGUCGCAGAGGGUGAAACGGGCAAUCUCUACGCGCAGCAACACCAAAUAGGCACACGUUGACCUGGCCCGGGGAGUGUGCGGGUAGGUGGCAUCGAGCCGUUCUGGCGACAGGCGGCCCAGAGGAAUGGCGGUCACGGUUCCAAGUCGCAAGACAAGGGGCCGCACAGAAUCCGGCCUAUCGGCUGACUUCACAC
rnacentral:RNase_P_RNA from 1 species